CCCUUGGUAGCUCAGUUGGAAGAGCGUGAGACUGUAAUGGUUGCUUACGUAAUACACUUCUCAAUUACGUAAUCUCAAGGUCACUGGUUCGAACCCGGUCCGAGGGA
rnacentral:tRNA from 1 species